CAGGCACACUGGGGCUCACAGCCCGUGGUCACCACCGUGGUUAUGGGGGCCGAUGUGGGGCUGCUGGGCAGCAGGGUCGAGGUGCGGGUCUUGCUGGGUGUGGCCGUGGCCGUGGUCCUGGAGGUGGCCCUGGUGUGGCCCGGGGUGGUCGUCCCUGGAGAAGGGGGUGACUCGGUGGUCCUGCUGCUAGGGUGAGGGCUGGACAGGGCUGGAGUCGAGUGCUGGGUGGUACCGGUGGUUGCUGCUGGGGUGUGGGAAGUCCCCGUGGAAGGCUCUGUGAUGUG
rnacentral:lncRNA from 1 species